GCGAACGCUGGCGGAAUGCUUAACACAUGCAAGUCGCACGGGGGCUUCGGCCUUAGUGGCGGACGGGUGAGUAACGCGUAGGAACGUGUCCUGGGAUGGGGGAUAACGCUGGGAAACUGGCGCUAAUACCGCAUAUCUCCUGAGGGAGAAAGCCGCGAGGCGUCUUGGGAGCGGCCUGCGUCCGAUUAGCUUGUUGGUUAGGUAAUGGCUGACCAAGGCGAUGAUCGGUAGCUGGUCUGAGAGGAUGAUCAGCCACACUGGGACUGAGACACGGCCCAGACUCCUACGGGAGGCAGCAGUGGGGAAUAUUGGACAAUGGGCGCAAGCCUGAUCCAGCAAUUCCGCGUGGGUGAAGAAGGUCUUCGGAUUGUAAAGCCCUUUCGGCGGGGACGAUGAUGACGGUACCCGCAGAAGAAGCCCCGGCUAACUUCGU
rnacentral:rRNA from 1 species